CCAGGCUGGUCUCGAACUCCUGACCUCAGGUGAUCUGCCCACGUCAGCCUCCCAAAGUGCUGGGAUUACAGGUGUGAGCCACCGAGCCCAGCUUGAUCAAUGUAAUUUUCAGAUUACCUAAAAAUUCCAUUUUGGGAUAAUAUCCCACUUCAUCAGAAAUAUAAGAAUGAUUUAAGUGUUAGAUCCUUUCCCUUACCCGUAAGUUACGAAUGUAUUAAUGAGCAGUAAAAUGGUUGCGAAAAACCUGAACCUGAACAAUCUGAAUGUACUCUUUAAAGGUAACUGAGCACCUUUUCAAAGGCUUCUUUUUGUCAUUUCAGCCCAGUAGUGUCUAUUGUAAGACAGCUGGUCUUCAUGGCUGCCUUAGCUGAGUGUUGCAGGUGGGGCCUAAUGGGAGGUGUUUGGAUCCCUCAUGGAUGGAUUGGUUGCGUCCUUGGGGUAAUGAGUGAGUUCUUGCUCUAUACGUCCCUUCCCCACCCCAGAGCUGGCUGUUAAAAUGAGGCUGGCACCUGGCACCUACCCCCCGCCACCCAUUCUUGCCCUGUGAUCUCUGCUCACGUUAGCUCCCUUCACCUUCCUGCAUGAGUAGAAGCAUCCUGAAGCCCUCACUGUUUCUUGUACAGCCUGCAGAGCUGUGAGCCAAAUAAACCUCUUUUCUUUUAAACUA